rnacentral:rRNA from 1 species
GACGAACGCUGGCGGCGUGCUUAACACAUGCAAGUCGAACGGAAAGGCCCUGCUUUUGUGGGGUGCUCGAGUGGCGAACGGGUGAGUAACACGUGAGAAACCUGCCCUUGACUUUGGGAUAACUUCAGGAAACUGGGGCUAAUACCGGAUAGGAGCUCCUGCUGCAUGGUGGGGGUUGGAAAGUUUCGGCGGUUGGGGAUGGACUCGCGGCUUAUCAGCUUGUUGGUGGGGUAGUGGCUUACCAAGGCUUUGACGGGUAGCCGGCCUGAGAGGGUGACCGGCCACAUUGGGACUGAGAUACGGCCCAGACUCCUACGGGAGGCAGCAGUGGGGAAUAUUGCACAAUGGGCGGAAGCCUGAUGCGGCAACGCCGCGUGCGGGAUGACGGCCUUCGGGUUGUAAACCGCUUUCGCCUGUGACGAAGCGUGAGUGACGGUAAUGGGUAAAGAAGCACCGGCUAACUACGUG